rnacentral:rRNA from 1 species
AUUGAACGCUGGCGGCAGGCUUAACACAUGCAAGUCGAGCGGGGACUUCGGUCCUAGCGGCGAACGGGUGAGGAAUGCUUGGGAAUCUGCCCAGUAGCGGGGGAUAACGUUUCGAAAGGAACGCUAAUACCGCAUACGCCCUACGGGGGAAAGGGGGGGAUCUUCGGACCUCUCACUAUUGGAUGAGCCCAAGUCGGAUUAGCUAGUUGGUGGGGUAAAGGCCUACCAGGGCGACGAUCCGUAGCUGGUCUGAGAGGAUGAUCAGCCACACUGGAGCUGAGACACGGUCAAGAGUCCUAAGGGAGGGAGCAGUGGGGAAUAUUGGGCAAUGGGCGAAAACCUGAUCCAGGCAUGCCGCGUGUGUGAAGAAGGCCUUCGGGUUGUAAAGCACUUUAAGCGAGGAGGAAUGGCUGAGGGUUAAUAACCUUCAGCAGUGGCGUUACUCGCAGAAUAAGCACCGGCUAACUCUGUGCCAGCAGCCGCGGUAACAC